GAUGAACGCUGGCGGCAUGCCUAACACAUGCAAGUCGAUCGGUAAGGCUCUUCGGAGUACACGAGAGGCGGACGGCUGAGUAACGCGUAGGAACACACCCUGCAGUUAGGGAUAAGACACCGAAAGGUGUUCUAAUACCGCAUACGGUCUUCGGAUUAAAGCAUUUAUGCGCUGAAGGAGUGGCCUGCGUCAUAUUAGAUAGUUGGUGAGGUAAUGGCUCACCAAGUCGAUGAUGUGUAGCUGGUCUGAGAGGAUGAUCAGCCAGACUGGAACUGAGGCACGGUCCAGACUCCUACGGGAGGCAGCAGUGAGGAAUAUUUCACAAUGAGCGAAAGCUUGAUGGAGCAAUGCCGCGUGCAGGAUGAAGGCCCUCGGGUUGUAAACUGCUUUUAUAAGAGAAGAUUAUGACGGUAACUUAUGAAUAAGGGACGGCUAACUACGUG
rnacentral:rRNA from 1 species